rnacentral:rRNA from 1 species
UGGGGAAUUUUGGACAAUGGGCGAAAGCCUGAUCCAGCAAUGCCGCGUGUGUGAAGAAGGCCUUCGGGUUGUAAAGCACUUUUGUCCGGAAAGAAAUCCUUGGCUCUAAUACAGUCGGGGGAUGACAGUACCGGAAGAAUAAGCACCGGCUAACUACGUGCCAGCAGCCGCGGUAAUACGUAGGGUGCAAGCGUUAAUCGGAAUUACUGGGCGUAAAGCGUGCGCAGGCGGUUUGCUAAGACCGAUGUGAAAUCCCCGGGCUCAACCUGGGAACUGCAUUGGUGACUGGCAGGCUAGAGUAUGGCAGAGGGGGGUAGAAUUCCACUGUAGCAGUGAAAUGCGUAGAGAUGUGGAGGAAUACCGAUGGCGAAGGCAGCCCCCUGGGCCAAUACUGACGCUCAUGCACGAAAGCGUGGGGAGCAAACAGGAUUAGAUACCCUGGUAGUCCACGCCCUAAACGAUGUCAACUGUUGUUGGGGAUUCAUUUCCUUAGUAACGUAGCUAACGCGUGAAGUUGACCGCCUGGGGAGUACGGUCGCAAGAUUAAAACUCAAAGGAAUUGACGGGGUCAUAGCUGUUU